UAGAGUUUGAUCAUGGCUCAGGAUGAACGCUGGCGGUAUGCCUAACACAUGCAAGUCGUACGAGAGUUUUUUAACUCUAGUGGCGGACGGGUGAGUAACACGUGAGAAUUUGCCUUUAGGAGGGGGAUAACAAUUGGAAACGAAUGCUAAUACCCCAUAUGCUUUCGAGUAAAAUGGAUUUUAUCUGCCUAGAGAGAAGCUCGCGGCUGAUUAGCUUGUUGGUAAGGUAAGAGCUUACCAAGGCGACGAUCAGUAUCUGGUUUGAGAGGACGAUCAGACACACUGGAACUGAGACACGGUCCAGACUCCUACGGGAGGCAGCAGUGGGGAAUUUUCCGCAAUGGGCGAAAGCCUGACGGAGCAAUACCGCGUGAGGGAAGACUGCCUAUGGGUUGUAAACCUCUUUUUUCAGGGAGGAAUAAAAUGACGUGUACCUGAAGAAUAAGCAUCGGCUAACUCCGUGCCAGCAGCCGCGGUAAGACGGAGGAUGCAAGUGUUAUCCGGAAUCACUGGGCGUAAAGCGUCUGUAGGUGGUUUAAUAAGUCAACUGUUAAAUCUUGAGGCUCAACUUCGAAAUCGCAGUCGAAACUAUUAGACUAGAGUAUAGUAGAGGUAAAGGGAAUUUCCAGUGGA
rnacentral:rRNA from 1 species